rnacentral:rRNA from 1 species
UACGUAGGGUGCGAGCGUUGUCCGGAAUUAUUGGGCGUAAAGAGCUCGUAGGCGGUGUGUCACGUCGGCCGUGAAAACCUGCAGCUUAACUGUGGGCGUGCGGUCGAUACGGGCAUCACUGGAGUUCGGCAGGGGAGACUGGAAUUCCUGGUGUAGCGGUGAAAUGCGCAGAUAUCAGGAGGAACACCGGUGGCGAAGGCGGGUCUCUGGGCUGAUACCGACGCUGAGGCGCGAAGGCCAGGGGAGCAAACGGG